AACGAACGCUGGCGGCAUGCCUAACACAUGCAAGUCGAACGAGACCUUCGGGUCUAGUGGCGCACGGGUGCGUAACGCGUGGGAACCUGCCCUUAGGUUCGGAAUAACUCCCCGAAAGGGGUGCUAAUACCGGAUAAUGUCUUCGGACCAAAGAUUUAUCGCCUUUGGAUGGGCCCGCGUUGGAUUAGCUAGUUGGUAGGGUAAAAGCCUACCAAGGCGACGAUCCGUAGCUGGUCUGAGAGGAUGAUCAGCCACACUGGGACUGAGACACGGCCCAGACUCCUACGGGAGGCAGCAGUGGGGAAUAUUGGACAAUGGGCGAAAGCCUGAUCCAGCAAUGCCGCGUGAGUGAUGAAGGCCUUAGGGUUGCAAAGCUCUUUUACCCGGGAUGAUAAUGACAGUACCGGGAGAAUAAGCUCCGGCUAACUCCGUG
rnacentral:rRNA from 1 species